CCUANGGGUGGCUGCAGUGAGGAAUAUUGCACAAUGGGCGAAAGCCUGAUGCAGCGACGCCGCGUGGAGGAUGACGGUCUUCGGAUUGUAAACUCCUGUUAAGUGGGAAAAAAGUAUUGCUGUUAAUAGCAGCGAGAGAUGAUGGUACCACUAGAGAAAGCACCGGCUAACUUCGUGCCAGCAGCCGCGGUAAUACGAGGGGUGCAAACGUUAUUCGGAAUCACUGGGCGUAAAGGGUGUGCAGACGGCGAAACAAGUCAGUUAUAAAAUCUCUUGGCUUAACCAAGAACCUGUAACCGAAACUGUUUUGCUUGAGGAUGGAAGAGAGAAGCGGAAUUCUCGGAGUAGCGGUAAAAUGCGUAGAUCGCGAGAGGAACACCGAUGGCGAAGGCAGCUUCUUGGUCCAUUUCUGACGUUGAGACACGAAAGCGUGGGGAGCAAACAGGAUUAGAUACCCCANUAGUC
rnacentral:rRNA from 1 species